rnacentral:rRNA from 1 species
CGAAAACGAAUUCUCUCUUGAGUGGAUCCUGAGUACGACGGAGCACGUGAAAUUCCGUCGGAAUCUGGGAGGACCAUCUCCUAAGGCUAAAUACUCUCUAGUGACCGAUAGUGAACCAGUACCGUGAGGGAAAGGUGAAAAGUACCCCGGAAGGGGAGUGAAAGAGAACUUGAAACCGUGUGCUUACAAGUAGUCAGAGCCCGUUAAUGGGUGAUGGCGUGCCUUUUGUAGAAUGAACCGGCGAGUUACGAUCUGAUGCAAGGUUAAGCAGAAAAUGUGGAGCCGUAGCGAAAGCGAGUCUGAAUAGGGCGAAUGAGUAUUUGGUCGUAGACCCGAAACCAGGUGAUCUACCCUUGGUCAGGUUGAAGUUCAGGUAACACUGAAUGGAGGACCGAACCGACUUACGUUGAAAAGUGAGCGGAUGAACUGAGGGUAGCGGAGAAAUUCCAAUCGAACUUGGAGAUAGCUGGUUCUCUCCGAAAUAGCUUUAGGGCUAGCCUCAAGUGAUGAUUAUUGGAGGUAGAGCACUGUUUGGACGAGGGGCCCCUCUCGGGUUACCGAAUUCAGACAAACUCCGAAUGCCAAAUAAUUUAACUUGGGAGUCAGAAUGUGGGUGAUAAGGUCCAUAUUCGAAAGGGAAACAGCCCAGACCACCAGCUAAGGUCCCAAAAUAUAUGUUAAGUGGAAAAGGAUGUGGCGUUGCCCAGACAACUAGGAUGUUGGCUUAGAAGCAGCCAUCAUUUAAAGAGUGCGUAAUAGCUCACUAGUCGAGUGACACUGCGCCGAAAAUGUACCGGGGCUAAACAUAU